CAGUAGAGUGGCACCUCAUAUGCUUGAUGCAUAGAGAAAGAGGGAACUCGUUAAGAGUUGGAAUCUUACUAAGUAUCUAUCAAUCAAUCAUCCCGUUUCAUUCCUUUUUUACACUUCUUUAGUAGAGCUUUAGUUACCUAGUCAUUCAAGUCUUUUGUAUGCGCAUCAUAUAUAUCUAUAUCAGAAAGAGAGGCUUUCCAUAUUAGAAAGAAGGGCGAUGGUUAUUAAACGAAAUAAUUUUUUUUUUUAAAUAAUCAAAGAAAUUUUAUUAAUUGAAAAAUCAAGAAAAACUUAUCAUAAAUUUCCUUGGGAAGCUUGACAUUUUG
rnacentral:misc_RNA from 1 species